UACGUAGGUACCGAGCGUUAUCCGGAUUUACUGGGCGUAAAGCGCGUGCAGGCGGUUUGUCAAGUCGGGCGUGAAAUCUCUCGGCUCAACCGGGAGAGGUUGUCCGAUACUUCCAGACUUGAGGGCAGUAGAGGGUGGUGGAAUUCCGGGUGUAGUGGUGAAAUGCGUAGAUAUCCGGAGGAACACCAGUGGCGAAAGCGGCCCCCUGGACUGCACCUGACGCUGAGACGCGAAAGCUAGGGGAGCGAACGGG
rnacentral:rRNA from 1 species